rnacentral:tRNA from 1 species
GCCCUUGUAGCUCAACGGAUAGAGCUGCCGCGUCCUAAGUGGAAGGUUCUGCGUUCGAGUCGCAGCAAGGGCA